GGUUGGGGUCAGACGCUUCAGGUUGGGGUCAGACGCUUCAGGUUGGGGUCAGACGCUUCAGGUUGGGGUCAGACGCUUCAGGUUGGGGUCAGACGCUUCAGGUUGGGGUCAGACGCUUCAGGUUGGGGUCAGACGCUUCAGGUUGGGGUCAGACGCUUCAGGUUGGGGUCAGACGCUUCAGGUUGGGGUCAGACGCUUCAGGUUGGGGUCAGACGCUUCAGGUUGGAGUCAGACGCUUCAGGUUGGGGUCAGACGCUUCAGGUUGGGGUCAGACGCUUCAGGUUGGGGUCAGACGCUUCAGGUUGGGGUCAGACGCUUCAGGUUGGGGUCAGACGCUUCAGGUUGGGGUCAGACGCUUCAGGUUGGGGUCAGACGCUUCAGGUUGGGGUCAGACGCUUCAGGUUGGGGUCAGACGCUUCAGAUUUUUACUUGAUCACAUACAGGGCAGGUGACCCCUGACCCCACCUGGGAGAGUCUGCAGGUGGUUGCGGAUGGGUAAUUGCGGUGCAGGUUAAGGGAAAAGCAGAGGCACCACUACGGUCAGU